GCAAUGAUGAAAUUAUGGCAACAUUCUGAUUCAGCUGAUUUUUGCCUUUUUUGUCCUCUAAGAAGUUCUGAGCUU